CUGAGGACGCUGAAUUUAAGUGACCAGCGGAUCUUUGAGCUUCUGAGGGUGAUAGAGGAGGUGACGGGUCUAGGAGCCAGGAUAAGGAAAGGGGAGAUCAAGCUUCUAGACUUCGUGUUUGAUGUCAUGCUCCCAGAGAUCCUGAUCAGCAUCCUGGACGAUGAAGGACUGACCCAGCUACAAACUGGGUUCAUGAUGGCCAGUGGCAGACUUCUGUAGGUGUAAACCUCCAUUUUUUUAU